AUGUUCGGCCUACGUGUGCACGUCGAUGCCGAGGCGGUUCCUCGCCCCGACGACCCCGAGUGGCAGAUGGCCGACCACACCGUCAUCCACUGUCUAUAUGCCACCAUACCGCUGGAGCUCCUCGAUGCGAUCAAGCAGCCCGAGGACACGGCCCGCAUUGUGUGGCUCGCCGUCGACGAGCUCUUCCGCAACAACCAGAUGGCUCGCGUAGUGUACGUCGACGCUGAGUACCACGCCACCAUCCAGGGCGACAUGACGGUGAUGCAAUUCUGCACCAAGCUCAAGACCUUCGCCGACCAACUCCGUGAUCUGGGCUAG
rnacentral:rRNA from 1 species